rnacentral:rRNA from 1 species
AACACAUGCAAGUCGAACGGGGUAGCAAUACCCAGUGGCGAACGGGUGCGUAACACGUGAGGAACAUUCCUUCCGGUGGGGGAUAGCGCUAACGGCCGGGUAAUACCGCAUACGCUGUUCGGGGUGCAUACCCUGGAUCGGAAAGCAGCAAUGCGCCGGAAAGGUGCCUCGCGGCCUAUCAGCUAGUUGGUGAGGUAAUGGCUCACCAAGGCGACGACGGGUAGCUGGUCUGAGAGGAUGGCCAGCCACAUUGGGACUGAGACACGGCCCAGACUCCUACGGGAGGCAGCAGUGGGGAAUCUUGCGCAAUGGGCGAAAGCCUGACGCAGCGACGCCGCGUGUGGGAUGACGGCCUUCGGGUUGUAAACCACUGUCGCGAGGGACGAAGAUCUGACGGUACCUCGAAAGGAA